AUUGAACGCUGGCGGCAGGCCUAACACAUGCAAGUCGAACGAGUGGCGGACGGGUGAGUAAUGUCUGGGAAACUGCCAGAUGGAGGGGGAUAACUACUGGAAACGGUAGCUAAUAACGCAUACCAUCGGAUGUGCCCAGAUGGGAUUAGCUAGUAGGGGGGGUAAAGGCUCACCUAGGCGACGAUCCCUAGCUGUUCUGAGAGGAUGACCCGCCACACUGGAAUUGAGACACGGUCCAGACUCCUACGUGAGGCAGCAGUGGGGAAUAUUGAACAAUGGGCGCAAGCCUGAUGCAGCCAUGCCGCGUGGAUGAAGAAGGCCUUCGGGUUGUAAAGUACUUGCAGCGGGGAGGCGUUACCCGCAGAAGAAGCACCGGCUAACUCCGUGCCAGCAGCCGCGGUAAUAC
rnacentral:rRNA from 1 species